rnacentral:rRNA from 1 species
GUGAGGAAUUUUCCGCAAUGGGCGAAAGCCUGACGGAGCAAUGCCGCGUGAAGGAUGAAGGCCUAUGGGUUGUAAACUUCUUUUCUCAGAAAAGAAUUAUGACGGUAUCUGAGGAAUAAGCAUCGGCUAACUCUGUGCCAGCAGCCGCGGUAAGACAGAGGAUGCAAGCGUUAUCCGGAAUGAUUGGGCGUAAAGCGUCUGUAGGUUGUUUAAAAAGUAUUCUGUCAAAGAUUAGGGCUUAACCCUAGAUAGGAAGAAUAAACUGUUAAGCUAGAGUUUGGUAGAGGCAGAGGGAAUUCCCGGUGGAGCGGUGAAAUGCGUAGAUAUCGGGAGGAACACCAAAGGCGAAGGCACUCUGCUGGGCCAAUACUAACACUGAGAGACGAAAGCGAGGGGAGCAAAUGGGAUUAGAAACCCGUGUAGUCC